rnacentral:rRNA from 1 species
GAUGAACGCUGGCGGCGUGCCUAAUACAUGCAAGUCGAGCGAACAGAUGAGGAGCUUGCUCCUCUGACGUUAGCGGCGGACGGGUGAGUAACACGUGGAUAACCUACCUAUAAGACUGGGAUAACUUCGGGAAACCGGAGCUAAUACCGGAUAAUAUAUUGAACCGCAUGGUUCAAUAGUGAAAGACGGUUUUGCUGUCACUUAUAGAUGGAUCCGCGCCGCAUUAGCUAGUUGGUAAGGUAACGGCUUACCAAGGCAACGAUGCGUAGCCGACCUGAGAGGGUGAUCGGCCACACUGGAACUGAGACACGGUCCAGACCCCUACGGGAGGCAGCAGUAGGGAAUCUUCCGCAAUGGGCGAAAGCCUGACGGAGCAACGCCGCGUGAGUGAUGAAGGUCUUCGGAUCGUAAAACUCUGUUAUUAGGGAAGAACAAAUGUGUAAGUAACUAUGCACGUCUUGACGGUACCUAAUCAGAAAGCCACGGCUAACUACGG